UCCAGCUGCUGCACGGACGCGGACGCGCUUCAUCAACAGUUACACGAGCUUCAUCUGCUCAAUCCUCCACAGGGCUUCUUCUUCUUCUGACAGAGACCGUGUUUCAGCAGAGCUUCUUCUCCAAACACACUUUAUCCAGCGUCGACUGGCUCGUGCUGUGAUUUGCUGCAGAGGAGUUUCCCUGAGAAGAAGAGAAUCGGCGGGCAGCGCUGUGGCUUUCCAAGUAAAGUUCUGUGAUGCACUCCGGCUCUUAAUUGUUUGCAGUCAGUGCAUUACAGAACUUUGUUUUGGGAGUUUAAAGCUCAGGCCUGGAGGAAACAAUCAGUCCAUCUGGAUGAAGCUGUUACAGCGUUAAACUGCACAGCCUGUGUCCUUCAAAAGACACGCACAAAUACACAUCAUCAUUACAACAUGCUCAUUUAUUUCCAACUGCUAAUGAACAUCCUCUGAGUGUGGGAAUCACAGAUGCGUUGAUGUUUCGUUAUAGUUGUGUUGUGUGUUAUUUACAUGAUCUUUUCCCAGAAUGUUUUCUCCAAGUGUUCAACUAGCAUAGCGGAGGCUAUACCGCAAUUGCUAAAUAUCUAAAAAUAACCGUUGCACAGUAACACGCCACUUUCCAAUUAAACAUUCCAUUCCAUAACCUCAGGAAACACAAAAAAUGUGGCUUUUUCCAUUGUUGUAAAGGCAGUGUAUAUCCCAUAUUUACAAGGCGGUGCAGAGAAAAGCACUUUAAAUGGAGAAGCUUAGAGGUUUGUGAUGACAUCAUCAGGCGAGCGCAUGUCUCACGGUCACGUGACUCUUAUGAGGGUCAUCUGCUCUUAAGACGGAGAACUUUUUAUGGGCACUGACUAAACAGAUUUCCAAGUGUAAAAACUGUUCCAUUUGUCUGAAAUACUAGUGUACAAUAUGCGAAGUAUGCAUCUGGGAAAUAAAUGUGAGAGGUUUUGCUGAAGUGUA